GCUGUGCUCCCGGAUGUUAGCGGCGGACGGGUGAGUAACACGUGGGUAACCUGCCUGUAAGACUGGGAUAACUCCGGGAAACCGGAGCUAAUACCGGAUAGUUCCUUGAACCGCAUGGUUCAAGGAUGAAAGACGGUUUCGGCUGUCACUUACAGAUGGACCCGCGGCGCAUUAGCUAGUUGGUGGGGUAAUGGCUCACCAAGGCGACGAUGCGUAGCCGACCUGAGAGGGUGAUCGGCCACACUGGGACUGAGACACGGCCCAGACUCCUACGGGAGGCAGCAGUAGGGAAUCUUCCGCAAUGGACGAAAGUCUGACGGAGCAACGCCGCGUGAGUGAUGAAGGUUUUCGGAUCGUAAAGCUCUGUUGUUAGGGAAGAACAAGUGCGAGAGUAACUGCUCGCACCUUGACGGUACCUAACCAGAAAGCCACGGCUAACUACGUGCCAGCAGCCGCGGUAAUACGUAGGUGGCAAGCGUUGUCCGGAAUUAUUGGGCGUAAAGGGCUCGCAGGCGGUUUCUUAAGUCUGAUGUGAAAGCCCCCGGCUCAACCGGGGAGGGUCAUUGGAAACUGGGAAACUUGAGUGCAGAAGAGGAGAGUGGAAUUCCACGUGUAGCGGUGAAAUGCGUAGAGAUGUGGAGGAACACCAGUGGCGAAGGCGACUCUCUGGUCUGUAACUGACGCUGAGGAGCGAAAGCGUGGGGAGCGAACAGGAUUAGAUACCCUGGUAGUCCACGCCGUAAACGAUGAGUGCUAAGUGUUAGGGGGUUUCCGCCCCUUAGUGCUGCAGCUAACGCAUUAAGCACUCCGCCUGGGGGAGUACGGUCGCAAGACUGAACUCAAAGGAAAUUG
rnacentral:rRNA from 1 species